rnacentral:rRNA from 1 species
UACGGAGGGUGCAAGCAUUAAUCGGAUUUAUUGGGCGUAAAGGGCGCGUAGGCGGCAUUGUAAGUCAGAUGUGAAAUCCCGGGGCUCAACCCCGGAACUGCAUUUGAAACUGCAAUACUAGAGGGUAGGCGGAGAAAAUGGAAUUCCACAAGUAGCGGUGAAAUGCGUAGAUAUGUGGAAGAACACCGGUGGCGAAGGCGGUUUUCUAGCUUACUCCUGACGCUAAGGCGCGAAAGCAAGGGGAUCAAACAGG